CUGGCGGGGCGCGGGGGUCCCUGUACCUCCUGACCUUCGCGCAGCUACAAGGGCAGGGGAGGCUGGGACCCUCUGUCUACAAAGCGAGCUGGGCAUGUCCCCUUCGCUUUUCCAUGGCCAUGCUCCAACCUGGAAAGAAUAACUUUUACAUAAUAGCCACGACAGCGCCUGCUCUGUACCAGGUGCCGUCUACUAGUAAGUACUGGAGCACAUAUUCCCCCUCCAGUCUUGCGAGUUCCAGUUCCAUUGAUGAGGUGCCCUGGUUUAACUGGCAGCAGUUUUAAUUUCGCAGUGUAUGGAUGUAUCGGCUUCAAUGAGAUGCAGUAAUACCCACGUGCUCUGUUUAUGCGUUAACUCAUCUACUUCUCAGAGCAGCGCCGUGACAAGAAGAAACGGAGGCUUGGAGGCCAUGUGACUUGCCUGAGGUCACAUACUUGCCCGGCCUGUAAAUGACUGUCCCGGGUUUAUCAGACCCUGAAGCUCUGCUCCAUCCUCCUCCCUGGGCUAUUCUCUGUGACAGGACUGAGGCGGAGGCAUUUGGUGUAGGCAGCUCUGCGGGGACCUGGAUGCCUGCUGCCAGUGGGCAGAGCUGGGCAUGCGGAAACUGGAGAAGGUCACCCGGGGACAAAACCACAGAGGCUGUCCCUUCUCCCAGAAGUUUUCCGGGGAGUUGGGAAGACCGGAAAACACAAUCUUGAAGAUGUAGUAUUCUUCAGGAAGAGAAUCAGUAAGGCCAGAGGGAGGCUCCCAGCUGAGUGCUUCUGGGUUCCAGCUUUCCGGUGCUGAUGGUCAAACGUUCUCUUUGUUUAGAAUGUGUUUU